UACGUAGGGUGCGGGCGUUGCCCGGAUUUAUUGGGCGUAAAGGGCGCGUAGGUGGUUCUGUGUGCUCCGCGUGAAAUCGCCCGGCUCAACCGGGCGGGGUCGCGGAUGACUACAGGACUGGAGCCUGGGAGGGGGAAGCGGAAUUCCCGGUGUAGUGGUGGAAUGCGUAGAUAUCGGGAGGAACACCUGAGAUGUAGAUGGCUUACUGGACCGUAACUGACGCUGAGGCACGAAAGCGUGGGUAGCAAACAGG
rnacentral:rRNA from 1 species